rnacentral:rRNA from 1 species
ACGCUAUGGUACGGCGCCUGAUUAUUCGCUCAGUAGGACGUAAAAGGUGUUAGUUCAUCUAGACAGCAGGACGGUGGCCAUGGAAGUCGGAAUCCGCUAAGGAGUGUGUAACAACUCACCUGCCGAAUGAAGUAGCCCUGAAAAUGGAUGGCGCUAAAGCGAAUAGCCUAACCAUAGCCAUUCGACUUAGUAGUGAAGUCGAAUGAGUAGGAAGGCGUGAUGGAUGUAGCGAAGGUUAGCGUGUGAACGCGAUUGGAACAUCCAUUAGUGCAGAUCUUGGUGGAAGUAGCAAAUAUUCAAAUGAGAUCUUUGAAGACUGAAGUGGAGAAAGGUUCCAUAGGAAUCGUGAUGAUCUAUGGGUUAGUCGAUCCUAAGAGAUAGGUGAAAUCCGUUGAAAGGGUGUUUUGAGUAACACCACUUAUCGAAAGGGAAUCAGGUUAAUAUUCCUGAACCGUGUUAUUCAAAGUCGGUAACGAGUGUCAGAUUGAAGACAUUGAUGGUACUCCUGGGAAGAGUUGUCUUUUCUUGUUAACAAGUGGUUGUGCUUGGAAUAAACUCAGUUUGCGAGAAGCAUGACUGUUUGGUAAAGGUUCGCUUGGAGCGAACUCCGGUGCAGUAUCAUGAGUCCUUGAAAAUUGAAUCUGGCUAUGGAGUGACACGUUCGUACUAAUAACCGCAUCAGGUCUCCAAGGUGAAUAGCCUCUAGUUAAUAGAAUAAUGUAGAUAAGGGAAGUCGGCAAAUUAGAUCCGUAACUUCGGGAAAAGGAUUGGCUCUGAGGGCUAAGUAGUAUGGCAGUGAUGAGUUAACGGCUUGUUGUGUGGUUGUUCGUUGUGGCUUCGGCUGUGAUGAAUGGCUAUGUGAUGAAAAGAGCGCUCGUCGUUGUUGGCUACAAUGAAUAGCUGACUCAGAACUGGUACGGACAAGGGGAAUCCGACUGUUUAAUUAAAACAAAGCAUUGUGAUGGACUGAAAGAGUUGUUGACACAAUGUGAAUUCUGCCCAGUGCUCUGAAUGUCAAAGUGAAGGAAUUCAACCAAGCGCGGGUAAACGGCGGGAGUAACUAUGACUCUCUUAAGGUAGCCAAAUGCCUCGUCAUCUAAUUAGUGACGCGCAUGAAUGGAUUAAUGAGAUUCCCACUGUCCCUAUCUACUAUCUAGCGAAACCACAGCCAAGGGAACGGGCUUGGAAGUAUCAGCGGGGAAAGAAGACCCUGUUGAGCUUGACUCUAGUCUGACAUUGUGAAAUGACUUGAGAGGUGUAGCAUAGGUGGGAGAAGCAAUUCGAUCUUGAAAUACCACUACUCUUAAUGUUGUUUUACUUAUUCCAUGAGAUGGUG